rnacentral:rRNA from 1 species
UACGUAGGGUGCGAGCGUUGUCCGGAAUUAUUGGGCGUAAAGGGCUCGUAGGCGGUCUGUCGCGUCGGGAGUGAAAACUCAGGGCUUAACCCUGAGCCUGCUUCCGAUACGGGCAGACUAGAGGUAUGCAGGGGAGAACGGAAUUCCUGGUGUAGCGGUGAAAUGCGCAGAUAUCAGGAGGAACACCGGUGGCGAAGGCGGUUCUCUGGGCCGAUACUGACGCUGAGGAGCGAAAGCGUGGGGAGCAAACAGG